CCAUCAUGAUGAGUGAAGGAUGUCAGACGUUCUACGUUGCACGACAAUGUGAUGGAUGGAUGAAUAGCUGCAGUGGGUGAAAUCCCAAAACAACUGGAGCCCAAUUUGGACCCCAUCGGCAUUGACAAUCUCACCAUCAGUCAGUUGCCAAAGGCCGCCUUCCUUGGAAGAGCUGACAUCCAGUCUGAACAUCUAGCUGACUGUGUGAAGAACCACAAUCCCCCCUCCCCCAUGAGGCAGGACCUUGACAUGGUUGUGGGGCUUGUGUGCUCUGAGGAAGAUUAGGGCUACACCUCAGGUUCAAUCAUACUGAACAGGACUCAUGAGAGGAAUCGGACAAAGAGUGUCUCUCCC